rnacentral:rRNA from 1 species
AGUAACUGCGAGUGAAGCGGGAAAAGCUCAAAUUUAAAAUCUGGCAGUCUUUGGCUGUCCGAGUUGUAAUCUGGAGAAGCGUCUUCCGCGCUGGACCGUGUACAAGUCUCCUGGAACGGAGCGUCAUAGAGGGUGAGAAUCCCGUCUUUGACACGGACUACCAGUGCUCUGUGAUGCGCUCUCAAAGAGUCGAGUUGUUUGGGAAUGCAGCUCAAAAUGGGUGGUAAACUCCAUCUAAAGCUAAAUAUUGGCGAGAGACCGAUAGCGAACAAGUACCGUGAGGGAAAGAUGAAAAGCACUUUGGAAAGAGAGUUAAACAGUACGUGAAAUUGCUGAAAGGGAAACGCUUGAAGUCAGUCGCGUUUGCUAGGACUCAGCCUUGCCUCGGCUUGGUGCACUUCCUAGUAAACGGGCCAGCAUCACUUUUGACUGCGGGAAAAAGAUCAAAGGAAUGUGGCACCUUCGGGUGUGUUAUAGCCUCUGGUUGUAUACCGUGGUUGGGAGUGAGGAACUCAGAACGCCGCAAGGCGGCGCUUCGAGCCACCUUCGUGCUUAGGAUGCUGGCGUAAUGGCUUUAAACGACCCGUCUUGAAACACGGACCAAGGAGUCUAACAUGCCUGCGAGUGUUUGGGUGGAAAACCCGAUCGCGUAAUGAAAGAGAGAGCUGGCUACCUCUGUCGUGAAGGGCUCCGACGUUCGGACCAAACCUUCUGUGACGUGUCCGAGUCCUAGCAUGUAUGUUUGAGAACCGAUACGAUGGAUGAACUAUGCCUCGAAUAUGCUGAAGCACAAAGGAAACUCAAGUCCCGGCUCGCAGCGAUUUGAACGCCUCACUCCCUCGCCCGGUUUGGGACUAGAGGCUAUAGACUACUCGAACGAGCUACUUCCUGUUACCUUUUUACCUUACCUAAAAAGAUGCUAACCCGUUUACUAGUAAUGGCCCAAGCCGAUGCAUGGGUGACUUCUAGCAAA